CCUUACCACGAUCAGUAUCAGCAGUAGCAGCAGCCUCAACCGAAGGCUCUGCAAAAGAUUCACAACUGGGCGUGAAAACUAUUGCAAAAAGAAGUAGUCCUCAGUGGGUACUGCUACCGACAUCAACGGCUCACCCACUAAGUCUACAGAAGGUAUGCUCAAAGAUAACAAAGGAAGCUGGAACAAAUCUACAGCUAUAUGCCACUAUACUAUCAUGAUCCGACACUACUAUCUGUAGAAUAAUGCGAUCUCUGACCCAAUCUCACUAGGGACUGUGAACACAGGUCCUAGGGACUGUGAAUACACCCGUCCCGCCUGUCGAAACUAUACAGCUACCUUCACACUAAGCAGUCCGUGGAGAGCAAGUCCAAUCAGGACACAUCGACACCAACGCAACAGCACUAAGCCCGACUCCGGAGUGGCACUCGUGGGCGCUACCCAACCGAGUAUGCAAACGUGUCUCUGUCGAGCUUAAUCAGGCUCUCACAGGCAAUAGUUAAGUCAACAGGGUCUAACAAUCAAACUCACGUACUCUCAGCACAAUCAGCUGCAAAAACAGCAAUCUAGGUCCACCGUCAACCUCAACGGCACUCGACAGUCUGGAACAGCCUAAACUUGAUGUUAAAAUAAGCUCGGCAUCCUAGCACGAGCGUAAAUAUAUUCUACACUAUCCUGGGUAUCCACCGCCCACAACUGCGAUGAUACAAACAAACUAUGGCUCCUAGAGCUAAAUCUGAUUGUUUUAAUAUAUGACGGUGUAGAAUCGACAGUUUUCUCCUAAGUCAAAUACAAGUCCAACAUGUAUUAUUUAACUAA
rnacentral:lncRNA from 1 species